rnacentral:rRNA from 1 species
ACCCGCUGAAUUUAAGCAUAUCAAUAAGCGGAGGAAAAGAAACCAACAGGGAUUGCCUUAGUAACGGCGAGUGAAGCGGCAAAAGCUCAAAUUUGAAAUCUGGCACCUUCGGUGUCCGAGUUGUAAUUUGAAGAAGGUAACUUUGGAGUUGGCUCUUGUCUAUGUUCCUUGGAACAGGACGUCGCAGAGGGUGAGAAUCCCGUGCGAUGAGAUGCCCAAUUCUAUGUAAAGUGCUUUCGAAGAGUCGAGUUGUUUGGGAAUGCAGCUCUAAGUGGGUGGUAAAUUCCAUCUAAAGCUAAAUAUUGGCGAGAGACCGAUAGCGAACAAGUACAGUGAUGGAAAGAUGAAAAGAACUUUGAAAAGAGAGUGAAAAAGUACGUGAAAUUGUUGAAAGGGAAGGGCUUGAGAUCAGACUUGGUAUUUUGCGAUCCUUUCCUUCUUGGUUGGGUUCCUCGCAGCUUACUGGGCCAGCAUCGGUUUGGAUGGUAGGAUAAUGACUAAGGAAUGUGGCUCUACUUCGGUGGAGUGUUAUAGCCUUGGUUGAUACUGCCUGUCUAGACCGAGGACUGCGUCUUUUGACUAGGAUGUUGGCAUAAUGAUCUUAAGCCACCCGUCUUGAAAUACGGACCAAGGAG